UUGCCGCCAUACCAUGGCUGAUGAGUGGUGUAGGUCUGCUCCUGGGAUCCGAACCCAGGACAGAAAAGCAGAGUGCACUGAACUUAACAACUAUGCCAUGAGGCUGGCCCCUCAGCUUGAGGUUUUGAAGUUUAGGCUGCAACCCUGAAAUCCAGCUUCAGUUUAAGACUUCUUGGGCGUGGGGUUAGGGAAGGAGUUCUCCAUGUCCUCAAGCUUUAAGCACAAGGGAUAGACACACGUCAGAGACCUUAUCCACCUCGUUCGCUGUUGUGUUGCCAGCACCUAGAACGGUUUCGAGGAUGCAGUAGGUGCUGGAUAAGUAUGCACUGAAAGCACGAAGAAGAGAACUGCCUCCUAUGUCUGAUCUCCCACUGGCUGCUUAGAUCGCAUGUCUGCAUCUGCUCCCCUGCCUGAGAAGACGCCCCUCUCCACACACGCCUGCUUCUGGAAACUCUGCUAAACUACCCAGAUGAAGCCCCAUCCCUGGAAUUUUCUCCAGCCCCAGAAGAGGAAAGCUAGUAGCAGGUUGACUUGGCACGUUUAGACUUUUGGUGAUUGAAAUGAUUACUUCCUAUUCCACACCCGCUCAACUCUGCAGAGAAACCUUUUCUACCAGCACUUGCUCUGUCUUGCUCCUCUCUGCAUGUUAACUUUAUUCCCCAAGAUAGCAGACCUGCUGACUGGCAGCACCUGGGGAGUUCAGGAGCACCUGUAAACUCCUGGGGAGGAUGAGCCUGGCUUGUGUCACGUGUCCACCUUGCACAAGCCAGCUGUGGCGGGUGGACUGAAUCCCACAGCACAGGUGUGACCACUGGGGUCCCCUCCUGGGUCUCAGUGCUGUUUCUGGAGAGGGGCGUCUCGUGUGCCAGGAAUCAACCCCAGUCUGUGUCUUUUUACAGGGGCCCUCCAGCCUUGGCUGAUGGGACUCAGAGUGGAUAUCAGUCUCAAACUGAGCCAGUAAGAAUCCCGCUCUCAAAAUUUUGGACAGUAAAUUAGCGUAAGGCAAAUCAACUUUGUUGAGACAUAAUUUACAUAUAAUAAAACGCACCCAGCUUAAGUUCAAUGAGUUUUGACAAAUGUAGACACCCAUGAAAUUUACCACUGUAAUUAAGAGAUAGAAUAUUUUAAUUGCCCCCAAAAGUUCCUGCAUGUCCCUUUGCAGUCAACUCCUUCACCCCAUACCCAGGCAACCACAACCACUCACCUAUGUCCUGCCACUGUAGAUGAGUUAGGCUUUUUCUAAAAUUUUGUAUAAAUGGAAUCAUAUAGCAUGCAUUCCUCUGUGUCUGGCUUCUAUCACUUGGCACAAUGCCUGUGAGAUUUAUGCAUGUUGUUGCAUUUAUCAGUAACUUAUAGAACACCCGGUUUUGGUCACAAAGUAACAGCCAAUUAAUAGAGAAAAAAGAAGCCAAGAUGUUGAGGGAAGAAGAGAUGGAAGACCACAGGGCCUAGGAGCGGUAGAGAGUGACCUCAGAGCCUGUUCUGAAACAAAAGCUUUAAAAAUAACCACCACUACCCAGGCAUGUACGGUACCAUCCCAUUUAUCAAAACAAAGAGGAGAAAAACAAGCCCAUAUAUGAGUAUAUUUGUCUAGGGAAAGGCUGGAAAGAUACACACCAAGGGGUUAAUUGUGGUUAUCUCUGGGUAAUAGGACCAUGGAUGUUUAAAAAUAUUAUCUUUCCUUAUCUAAAUUUUUAAUUUUCUACCAUCAACAAAGGUUAUUUUUACUUUAAGAAAAAAAAGUAUUUUUAUUUUCACAUGUGUGUGCAGCUUUUAAAAUCAGGCUGGGAAACUUCUCAAAUGCUUAACAUUUUUCAACGAUGUGAAAUGUUUCUAGUUACAUUUCAAACCUCUGAUGUGACGGUUCUGCCGCAGAUGUUUAAAAGCAAAACUUGUGAAAUAGGAUCAUUUGUGAGUAAUUAUUCCCUCAGCCCAGUUAUGCUGAAGGCCCUCUUAAGGCCUCUCAAAUUGUAACCGAGCUAUUUGUGGGCUAAAACCUUAACCCAGUUGUCGUCCUCAUCCUUGAGCCUGCAAUCAAAUGGAAAGGGUUGUGCUUCCCGUCGUUUUCAAAAUGUGGGCCAGCGGAAUCCCUUGGUGUGGUUGUAAAAACGCAGAUUCGUGAGCUGGACCACAGAUAUACUGACCCAUGAGAGUCUCUGGGGGUAGAGUUUAGAAUACGACAUUUAAAACAACCCAGUUAGGCAAUUCCGGGACACAGUA
rnacentral:lncRNA from 1 species